AUGUGCAACGCCCGCCAGCCCAUGGACCUCCGCUAUAUGAAGAUGCUCAGGAACCUUCUCCACCUGAUCAGCUCCUGGCCAUACAAGCUGCUGGGCGAGGACGUCAACCCUGAGAGGAACUUUCUACCUCUUCAUGGAAUGGGCGAUCGUGCUGGUGACCGGCCUUACCUACGUGAAGACACAUAUCAACAAACUCAGCUUUUUCGAAAUGGGGCAUACGUACGUGACUGUAUCGUUGAAUGUGGUCGGCUUGCAAAGAAUUACAAUUUUCUGGUUUAAGUCAUAUCGGCAAGCGAUCAAGGAGUUUGUUCUUGAAGUGCAUCUCUUUCACCACAGGCAUAAGACGGAAUAUUCUGAACACAUAUAUCAAUACAUUCACAAGAUCUGUGCAGUUUUCGUGGUAGCGAUCCACGCUGAAGCCUUUUUCGGGGUGCUCCUGUUCAACGUGAUGCCAUUCGUCAACAACGUGCGGCACGGCAUGUUCAAUGAGGAGAUGCCUCCCGACCGCCAGUUCGAGCACUCCAUUAACUACUCUCUGCCCUUCAACUACCACACGGACUUGGUGGGGUAUAUUGUGAUAGCUAUUGUCAAUUUGAUCCUGUCUUACGACUGCCUCCUGGCUUUCUGCGGGUUCGACCUGGCCUUGUCAGUGAUCGUAUUUCACGUGUGGGGGCAUCUGAAGAUCCUGGACCACGAUUUGAGGACGUUCCCCACGCCUGCUGAGUUGCGAGCAACCCGCGGCCGGCCUGAAGACGAAAUGAGCUAUUCUAAAGAGGAAAACCAAAGAGUUCGUGCAAUGCUUAUCAUCGAUCUUGUAGAAUUAUAUCUCGGGAUGACACAUUCGCAUUAAAAAUUGAUAAUAAGUAUAUUAAAUGCAAUGAUAAGGUAGCAAACGCAUUCGAAGGUUACUUCUCAAAUGUACCAAUCAUAACAACAAGCAAUCUUAAUUCAUGUUCAUAUCAGGCAAUGUCUCUUCUCGAGGGUUGUGUUGAUGUUUGCAAUAGCCCAUUAAAAUUUAGACAAAUAGACCCCAUAGUUAUUAUAAAAACUUUCAAAGAACUAAAUAUAAAAAAGCAGAGGAUAUAUGGGGCAUAUCAACAGACAUAAUAAAACCCAUCAUUCCUCUUAUAGCUACCCAUUUAGCUCAUAUCUUUAAUGAAUGUAUUAACGAAGGUCAGUUCCCUACCCUGAUGAAACAUAGUAAAAUCAUACCAUUAUUUAAAGCAGGAGACAAAAGUGACCCAUCCAACUUUAGACCUAUAUCGAUACUACCUGCGCUCAGUAAAAUAUUUGAAAAAAUUAUUUUCAAUCAACUACUGUCUCAUUUUAACUUAAAUAAACU